rnacentral:lncRNA from 1 species
ACAUGCACUAUGCAACUCUGAUCAUCUCACAACACUUGUAGAUGAAUCAACAUGUUGUUGGCAAUGAACAUGUGCUCAUGCAUAGCACCUAUCUUAAUUGUCGUUGUCCACCACUCAUCAAAUAUAGCUCAUUGACUAUGGGUUGGAUGGGUUGAUAACAAUAGAAUAAUUUGGUAGAGUACAUUACUUAAUUUUUUAAUAUUAAAAAUAAUUCUUAAGUUUAUGAGCCAGUCUAUGUACUCAAUUUCGGUUAAUCGGUUGAUAUCUAGGAUUUGAGCUAGAG